rnacentral:lncRNA from 1 species
UUGGUUGCUCUAUAUAUUCCCCAUUCAUCACCGCCUUCUUUUUCUCAACAAAAUUCUGACAAUCUUUCUUUAAAUUCACUCAUUUAUUAUUUUGCAAAUUUGUUACAAUAAAUUGAUAUUUCUUGAAGUGCGACAAUAACCCAUCAAGCAUGAGGGAAAGUGAAGCUCAGAAGCUCAAUUUCAUGCUCAUUUUCUCACUUCUGCUGAUUUUCUGAUAAUGUGUUUGAUCUGUUAAUGAUGUUUGAUUGAUUAUACAUCAUCAGAUGGUGCAUCACCAAAUGGGUCAAUUUGGUUAUGUUUUAUAUGGAAUGGUUAUACAUGAAUUACUACUCACAGCGUGAUUGGAUAACAAUAAUAAGAAUUAUAAGGUAAAUGGCAAGUCGUUGCCUGGUUUAUGAUGCUAAGAAUCACGUUCAAAUAUAUAUCUUGCUGUAGGUAGGUAAUUUACAAUUGGCAGUUGUUAGAUAUUUUGUUUAAAAGUCAGGGGGUGUUUUGUUUGGAGUUUGCUUACCGAUGAUUAAUAAUUAUGAAGUUUGAUUUUGCUUAUUUCAAAAGGCAAUAACAAGAGGAGGGUAGAAGGUAACUGAACGUUUGUUUGUUUGUUUGUUUUUUAAAAUUAUUGUACUGUGAUGGUAUUAUUAUUAUUAUGUCCAAUGUGCCCAAAAGAAAGAAAGAAAGAGAGGAACUUUGACUUUUAAUGGUAAUAAUUAAACAAUAAAUACUAUGUUAUGUUUAUAAAAAUCUCAUUUCAAAUAUAAAAAUGAAAACGUCUCUCAAAUAUUUACACACUUUUAUAAAGCUUUAAAUUUCAAAAUUUUCCAUGUCCAAGAACGUUUGGUUGUGACUGACUGACUAUGUGACAUUUAAAACUAAUAAGACCGUGGGGUAUGGUGGGGUGGGGGUUAGGCUAUGUAUUAAAUUGUAGAUACAAAGAUUUCCUUUUGGUAAAUAAUAAGUACCAUUUCCUCCUACUGAUUGAUAUUUGGCAGUGGCUAGCUGAAGAGUAAAAUAAACAGAAAUUAAGGAUGAUUGCCAUUUGCACACAACUAAGAAAGUUUAUGUGUCAUUGCAGUAUGAUUUGAUGGAUUUGGCAUUCAAAUUCCAUUAAAAGUAGAAGAGGCAUAUUAUUUGUAUAAUACCAUGAAGGUUUCUUGUGCCAGCUAAGAUCAAAACCCUUAAUUGGUAUAUUUGCAAAAUCUAUGUAGAGGAAUCGACAGACCAACGUAUCCCAGAAGCUGUAAUUUUUUUUUGACACGGUGGUUCCAUAAAAACAAACAUGUUUGUAAAGUUUAAGGUGCGAGUAUAUCACUUGUGACCGUUACAUGUGGUGUAUACUCUUAAGACCUUUUAUGGGCUACCUAAACUGGUCAGUUGUUAGGAAAGUGGUUCGGUUAAUAAUAUAAACAGUUGGUUAUUAAUGUGGAUAAAUUAAGUAUGUUCCAGAGUAUAUCACUUGUGACCGUUACAUGUGGUGUAUACUCUUAAGACCUUUUAUGGGCUACCUAAACUGGUCAGUUGUUAGGAAAGUGGUUCGCUUAAUAAUAUAAACAGUUGGU